CCCUUAGAUGUUCUGGGCCGCACGCGUGCUACACUGAGUGGAUCAGCGGGUCAGGUUGCGCGAAAGCGCUUCCUAAUCUUUAAAUCCGCUCGUGAUGGGGAUUGACGGUUGCAAUUUUCUGUCAUGAACGAGGAAUACCUUGUAAGCGCGGGUCAUCAUCCCGCGCUGAAUACGUCCCUGCCCUUUGUACACACCGCCCGUCGCUCCUACCGAUUGAGUGGUCCGGUGAGGCUUUGGGAUCUGAGCGGAAAGAGCGUUUCGCUGUUUCUGCUCGGAAAACUCAGUCGAACCUUAUCAUUUAGAGGAAGGAGAAGUCGUAACA
rnacentral:rRNA from 1 species